CUCAACCCUAGCCCAGGACAGCUUGGUUACACCCAGGAUAAACGAGCUGGAGAUGCGCCAGCCAGUGGGAGUAGCCAGGGAGAAAGGGCGGGACAGCCAGAGGAUGAGAAGGAGGAGGAUGACUUGAGGGGGCCACCUCCUUUUGAGAUGACUCUUUGUAUGCAUUCCAUUCACCUGGAGACUAACAAGGAGGCCUGAGUGAGCGAGGUGGGAGACAAACAAAGAGGGAACGAAGAAGAGAGUCUGAAGGAGGAAAUGUGAAUUCUCUUGCUGGGGGACUGAGGGAGUGCUGCACAAGUCCUGCUUUUCACAGGGUCCUGGGACCACUUACUCUGUAAUGAGAAGGUGGGUUGAAGAAGGGAGUGAAGCCUGUUCAGAGAACAGCAUUCAGCACACACUACAGCUUUCAGGUGAAACUGUGUCAAAAUGCUUUUUCAGUCAUGUACCACCCCUUGGUGUCUCAUUUUUGUAGUGUGGGGAAACAUUGCUAUUGGUAACAUUUUAUGCACCAGCAUGAGUUGUUGUACAACAUUACCAUAUAAUGUCACAAGAUGGUGUAACUUGUUAAAUGCACACACAUUUGUCUUAUUGUCAUUAACAAUGUUGUGCUGCAACACCAUUAAACAGCAGGUUGUCAACCCAUCCACUCGUGUUUGUUGUAGCUCACAACUUCUCGUCAAGUCAGUGAUGCUGAUGCAAAACUGGCCCUUCACUACCAAACACCAAAUUUGGAUACAGGAUACUAAAUUAGGAUACAAUUAUGAGUCAUUUGCAAACUCUAUUAAACAUUAUACUGUUACUUAGUUACUAUAUUUUUUGGCGAUAUGGCCAAAAAUAACGAUAAAACGAUAAAAAGUUUGAUAUCUUUCGAUAUAAAUAAUUAUCACAAUAAGUAUCCUAUCAUUAUUUCUU